AACACGAUGUUAAAUUUUACAGUAUCUUGGGGACUAUAGGAAAAGUUAUGUUUUAAUUGAAAAUAUACUUUAACCAAAAGAAAAACUCUCAUACAUUGACUAUGUAAAUAACUCCAUACUGUCUGUAUGGGAGGUACAAGGCAUGAUACAAUACAAUAUUUUAUCUGCCAGUACUGUCAGUCUCUCCCUUGGAAGAGAAAUUUGGCAACAAAAAAGUGUAUUCCCUUUUUCCCCCCCCUCCAACUGUGAUUAAAUAAGCCAGAUAUCCCCAAAGUAAUGAAGACUCAUUUCACGUAAUUACUCUGCUUACAAGUUUUAUUUACACAGUACUUGUUAAUAGUGGUUUUUAGUGAAUUCCUUAUAUUUACAUUUUAUAUAUACAUUUAUAUUUGAAAGGUAAAGAAACUGUACAAUAAUAAAAAUGAGAAAAAGAAAUACAGUAACUUAGGUCCAACUCAGGAAAGAAAUACACAAAAGGAAGGUUAAACUCAGGCAGGUAGAAUAAUCUCAAUGAGAUUGCUGCAGGGCUUACAUUCCCUCUGUCAGGGUCACCAAUGUGAAAGAAGCAUUUACCAGAGUCAAAGUGUUAUUAUAAAACCUUUUAUAAGUCCCUGGGUGCUCCCUCAAUAUUUUAUUACACUACCAUCACUAGCUUCCACUAAGGAAGCUCUGUGACAGGAGCUAGCUUCUGAGGGCUCCACCAGCGGUCCCUAAGCUAGAAUGCCCCAUGGGGUAAAAACAUCCGGGCACAUCUGGUCCCAUACUCCUAAAAAGGCAGUCACAACACUAACAAGACCCUCAGGUUCGUUAUGAUUUAUUUUAGGUAUAAGAAUUAAACAUAUUAUAAUAAAUUUAAUGUCAAUUUACCAAUAAUUAAUAAUUUGUCUAUCCACUCUACCAUCAAAGUUAGACUCAUUAGAAAAAGUUCACUUUAUCUUUUACUCUUAUUUACGUUGAUUAGAAAAUUAUGCACAGUAUUUUACAAGUCAUAGACUUGGUUACAUAUUAAGAUUUCAAAUUUCAAACUGAAAUUAAAAAUUUUUAUUUCUACAAACAAUGAAGGAAUUUUAACUAAAAAAAUCUCAAGUUUUUCCAAGAACUGUCAAAAUUCAUACUUUUUUACUUUUACCAGUGG